CCUUUUUUUUCUCUCCUCUAGGCCGAACUCCUCCUCCCCUGUCGCACCUCCCCUCUUCCUCUCCCCUGUUGUGCAAAUCUCCUCUCCCUCUCCAAGCCGUGAGUCAGCCCACUCCCUCCCCCAUGGCCAAACAACCAGCCCCAUCUCUAUCUCCACCUAAAAAAUCAAUUACAAUUAAUUAGGACUCUAAUUUUAUCCCUUUGACACCUUAUCUACCUCCUUUCCCUCUCCUCCCGACCAGCAGCCCGCCGGCCCAGCC
rnacentral:lncRNA from 1 species